GGAUAUGUUCGAAAUUAACUUGAUUCAGAGAUAAAUACGGUUGACUGAUGAAAAAUGCAUGGAGAAAAUAGGUGAAUUUCAUUGAGUCCCAUGCCAUAACAUUAAAUGUUUGGCUAAUACAGUGUGACUAUCAAUAAAUAUUAAUCUUGCAUAGAAUGAUGCAACGGAAGCUUGUAAAUUGACUUAAUCACUUCUUCUUUACUGAGUAUAUCUUGUUUGUUUUUCCCUCUUCUUUCUACUGUUGCUUUGCCCUAAACUCCUUUGGUUCUUCUCCAACUACUGAUGCAAACUCUUUUUCUGGUUACUUUGCCUCUCUAUUUUUCAUUGUGAUUUAUUCUCAAGGCUUGUAUUUUGAUGUAUAGGGGGUUCGGAGGUUCGUAUCACAUUGAAUCAGCUGAAUGGUCUGCUGCAAAGCCUCAAGGAAAGAAGAGAGAGCAAAAAGAUAGGCUAAAGAACCUCGCAAGUAAGUGGUCUUCUUUCUAUUCUAUGGCCUUCAACUACUUGCUAAGAUUGGAUUGACCAACUCUAUAUGUACAUGCCAGCUCUGUGCUUGAUAGGCAGAGAAUAGGAAAGAGGGAAGAAAUGUCACCUCAAUUUUAACUCUGAAGGGACCUGAUC
rnacentral:lncRNA from 1 species